rnacentral:rRNA from 1 species
AUGAAAUGGUCGACAUUGCUCAGUAAGGUCGUCUUCGCCGCCCCGCAGCAGCAGCAGCCGCCUCCGCCGCCGCCGCCCCCGGCGUCCCCGCUCCACGACCAGGAGGCCGACCCCGCCACCCCGCGCCUCAGCUCCGCCUCCGCCUCCGCCAGCGACGACGGCCGCGCCAGCGCCGCGUCCGGGAACUCGCCCUCGGCCGCCAGGGGAAAAAAUGAACUGGUGUCAGACUUCAGGAGGUUCUGGGAAGAAUUCCGCUCUUCCAGCUCUGAAAAGGAGAAAGAAAGGGCCUUAAAUUUGGCAGUAGAUGUCUUCUGUAGGCUAGUGAAGCAGCAGUUUAGUGUAGCUCAAUUAGUUACAAAGUUAGUAGAAGCACAUGUUUUUGCUUUUGUUAUUGGAAGGGCCUUUGUCACAGAUGUGGAGAAACUAAGAAUCCACAGCAAAGGAAGAUCCUUGCAUGUUGAUGAUGUUAUUUGCUUCUUUUCUGAGGUCACAGAGCUUGGCGUAUGUCCGGGUUCAAACUUGUUAUAUGCAGUUGAAGUUCUUGUGACAGAGACUAUUGAUAAGCAGCCUUUGUUGGACUCUGGUAUUCUGUGCUGCCUUAUAUAUAUCCUCAAUUCCCUGUUGAGUUCUGAUGAAUCCUGCAAAAAAUCCUCACCUGUUGGUGGAGAAGGAUCAGCAAGUGGGAAGAAUAAAGAUUGGUGUCCUUUGCAAUCUCGGCGGCUCGAGAUCGAGGCAAGUGUAGUGCAUAUAAUGAAGGCACUAGCGAGCCAUUCAUCUGCUGCACCAAGUUUAAUUGAAGAUGACGCUCUACAGCUUCUUUUCCACAUGGUUGCAAAUGGUUCUGUAUCUGUGUUUUCUCAGUUCAAGGAGGGUCUUGUUCCUCUUCACACAAUUCAGCUUCAUCGGCAUGCGAUGCAGGUUCUCAGUCUUCUUCUUGCAAAUGACAAUGGGACUUCUGCGAAGUACAUAAGGAAGCAUCAGUUGAUUAAAGUACUCCUUAUGGCCGUGAAAGAUUUCGAACCUCAAAGUGGUGAUGCUGCUUAUACCAUCAGCAUUGUGGAUUUGUUACUGGAAUGUGUUGAGCUCUCUUAUAGGCCUGAGGCUGGAUCCAUUAGGCUCAGGGAAGACAUACACAAUGCUCAUGGUUACCAGUUCCUUGUCCAGUUUGCACUCACACUAUGCAGCUUACACAAAAAUCAGGUUAACCAAUCCUUGCCCAAGACAGUAUCUGAAGAGAGUAGGUCGGACGCUUCCCGCAGAUUAGAAGAAGAUACGUUCUCAUGUGACCUUUCACCUCAGCUGUCCAGGUUGCUUGAUGUUCUUGUAAAUUUGUCGCAAACUGGUCCCUCUGAAGAUUUUGUUGGUAAAAGUAUGCAAUCUUCUCAUGGGAAGGGAACAGGUCACAGCAGAAGCCGAACCCCAUCUGCUGACAAGUUUGCAGAUGACAUUUUGGAAAUGAGCAGUCCCAAGGUAAAAGAUCUUGAAGCCAUUCAGAUGUUACAGGACAUUUUUCUGAAGGCAGACAACUUAGAAGUACAAGCUGAAGUUCUCAAUAGAAUGUUCAAGAUCUUCUCGAGCCAUCUCGAAAACUACAAGCUAUGUCAGCAACUGCGAACUGUUCCUCUUUUUAUCCUAAACAUGGGCGGUUUCCCUGCAGCACUUCAAGAGGUCAUCUUAAAAAUUCUAGAGUAUGCAGUCACUGUUGUAAAUUGUAUUCCAGAGCAGGAGUUGUUAUCACUCUGUUGCUUACUGCAACAACCAAUUUCUACCAGUCUUAAGCAUACUGUACUUUCUUUCUUCGUAAAGCUCCUGUCCUUUGAUCAGCAGUACAAGAAAGUUCUCAGGGAAGUGGGUGUUCUUGGGGCAUUGUUAGAUGACUUGAAACAAAACAAGCUUUUCUCUGGAGAUGAUCAGCAGAGCAAGAUCUUUUACUCUCCGGAGAUUAGGUCUGACACAGAUGAUAUUCAGAAAACUGUGGACAACGAAGACUCCAUUCUUUCACCGAAGUUGAUGGCUUCUGGUUCCACGAAAUUUCCCAUGUUUGAUGAUGAAGGGACACUUAAUGUUGCCUGGGAUUGCCUUUUUUAUCUGCUGAAGAGAGCUGAGACUAACCAGCAGUCUUUCCGAUCUUCCAAUGGAGUCAACACCAUUCUUCCUUUCUUGGUAUCAGAAAGCCACAGAUCUGGUGUGCUACGGCUACUGUCAUGCUUAAUAAUUGAAGAUUCUCUUCAGGCUCAUCCUGAAGAAAUAGGAUCACUGAUUGAGAUCUUGAAGAGUGGGAUGGUAUCAACCUCACUGGGUUCUCAGCACAAGCUUGACAAUGAUGCAAAGUGUGAUACAUUCGGAGCUUUGUGGCGCAUUCUUGGGGCAAACAAUUCAGCACAAAGAAUUUUUGGAGAAGCCACUGGAUUUUCUCUUCUACUUACAACGCUUCAUAGUUUCCAGAAUGAAGGUGAAAAUGAGGAGAAUGAACUAUCAUUGUUUACUCACAUGAAGAUCUUUGGUUUUCUAAUGCGCGCUAUGACAGCUGCUGUAUGCAACAAUGCUGUUAAUAGGAUAAGGCUGCAUACAGUUCUGUCGUCACACACUUUCUAUGAUCUUCUCUCUGAUUCUGGGUUGCUUUGUGUGGAUUGCGAAAGGCAAGUUAUCUUACUUAUGCUUGAGCUUGCACUAGAGAUUGUUCUUCCUCCUACCAGCAACCUGCAGGUAGAGAGCAUCUCAUCUGAAACCUCAGAGGAUGAACCAUGUUUCUUGUCUGCAACCUCGUUUGGAGUUUCAAAGCUUGAUGUGGAACGUGUUUAUAAUGCUAGUGCAGUUGUCGUAUUGAUCCGCUCCUUGCUAAUGUUUACGCCUAAAGUUCAACUUGAGUUGCUGAAAUUCAUCGAGAAACUAGCAAAUGCUGGUCCCUUCAACCAGGAGAAUUUAACUUCUGUUGGAUGUGUUGGUCUUCUACUCGAGACAAUCAACCCAUUUUUGGAGGGUUCCUCUCCUAUUCUCAAUCAUGCUUUGAGGAUUGUUGAAGUGCUAGGUGCCUAUAGGUUGUCUUCUUCCGAACUAAGACUUCUUGUGAGGUAUAUACUUCAGCUGAAAGUGAAGCGUUCAGGUCAUCUUUUUGUAAAUAUGAUGGAGAAGCUAAUUCAAAUGGAAGAUGUCAGACAAGGAGAUAUUUCUCUAGCCCCUUUCAUUGAGAUGGACAUGAGUAAAGCUGGCUAUGCAUCCAUUCAGGUUUCAUUAGGGGAAAGGACAUGGCCACCUGUUUCUGGAUACUCUUUUGUUUGUUGGUUCCAGUUUAGAAACUUAUUUAGAAGCCAUUCCAAGGAAACAGAAAAACCAUCAAAAGGGGCUUAUGGUAAAAGGAGUGCGCAAGUUUUGCGCAUCUUUUCUGUGAGUGCAGUGGAUGACGCCAACACUUUGUAUGCAGAACUUUAUCUUCAUGACAAUGGUGCUUUUACUAUAGCAACAAGCAAUUCAAGUUCAUUGUCAUUUCCUGGCAUUGAAAUGGUGGAGGGAAAAUGGCAUCAUCUUGCAGUUGUUCAUAGCAAACCAAAUGCAUUAGCUGGCCUUUUCCAAGCAAGUGUGGCAAGCAUUUACCUUGACGGAAAGCUGAGGCAUACUGGCAAGCUUGGAUACUCGCCAUCCCCAUUUGGUAAAUCAUUGCAAGUAACACUUGGUACACCUGCUACCCGUGGCAAAGUUUCUGACUUAUCAUGGCAGCUCCGCUGUUGUUACCUUUUCGAGGAAGUCUUGACACCAGGGAGCAUUUGUUUCAUGUAUAUUCUUGGACAAGGUUACCGGGGAUUGUUCCAGGACACCGAUCUUCUGAGAUUUGUACCUAACCGGGCCUGUGGUGGGGAGGUAAUGGCAAUUCUUGAUUCACUUGAAGUGGAAGUAACUGCACCUUCAAGCAGCCAGCGGAUAGAUAGUUCAGCGAAACAAGUGAGUUCUAGACUUGAGAGCAGUGGAAUUGUAUGGGAUAUGGAAAGGUUAAGAAAUCUCUCAAUGCAAUUGUCUGGGAGGAAGCUAAUAUUUGCAUUUGAUGGAACAUCAUCAGAUGCUUUUCGAGCAUCUGGGACUCUUUCCUUGCUUAACCUUGUUGAUCCAACUUCUGCUGCUGCAUCCCCUAUAGGAGGUAUACCACGAUACGGACGUCUAAGUGGUGAUGUUUAUGUGUGUAAUCAAUGCACAAUUGGUGACACUGUUCAAACUGUUGGAGGAAUGCCUGUUGUGCUUGCUCUUGUUGAGGCUGCUGAAACUAAGGAUAUGCUGCAUAUGGCACUGGAAUUGCUUGCAUUGUCUCUUCAGCAGGGCCAUCAAAAUGUGAAAGACAUGCAGGCCUUGAGGGGCUAUCAUCUUCUCGCACUUUUUCUGCACAGGAGGAUGUCAUUAUUCGAUAUGCAAUCUCUUGAUAUCUUCUUCCGCAUCGCUGCCUGUGAGGCUUCAUUUCCCGAGCCACAGAAAUCAAAUAUAAACCGAACAUCAAGCUAUGCAUCUGGUAUCUCCCCAGAUGCCAGUCUUGAUGAUCUUAGCCUACCUAAGUUUGGCGAUGAUCUGUCUUCUGGUGGAUCACAUGGAGAUCUAGAUGAUUUUUCAGCUCAAAAAGAUUCAUUCAGCCAUUUGUCUGAGCUUGAAAAUGCUGACUUAGCUGGUGAGACUUCUGAGUUCAUAGUUUUGUCAAAUGCUGAUAUGGUUGAACAUGUUCUCUUGGACUGGACUAUAUGGGUUGCUGCUCCUAUAUCAGUACAAAUAACUCUUCUUGGGUUUCUUGAGAGGAUGGUAUCAAUGCAUUGGUUUAGGAACCAUAACCUCACAAUAUUGCGUCGAAUUAAUCUUGUGCAGCAUCUUCUUGUUACUUUACAGCGUGGGGAUGUUGAAAUUCCUGUGCUGGAGAAGCUAGUUGUGCUGCUUGGUGUCAUCUUGGAGGAUGGUUUUCUAGCUUCCGAGUUGGAGCUUGUUGUAAGAUUCAUAAUCAUGACAUUUGAUCCUCCAGAACUUAGCCCAAACCGUCAGAUUGUCCGGGAGGCUAUGGGAAAGCAUAUUAUUGUGAGGAACAUGUUACUUGAAAUGCUCAUUGAUCUACAAGUAACCAUAAACGCUGAAGAGUUGCUGGAGCAAUGGCAUAAAGUUGUUUCAUCUAGAUUGGUCACAUAUUUCCUUGAUGAAGCUGUGCAUCCGACAAGUAUGAGAUGGAUCACCACCCUAUUAGGAGUUUGCCUUACAUCAUCUGCUACAUUCGCUCUGAAAUUCCGUACAAGUGGUGGUUUCCAAGGGUUGAAUCAUGUGCUUCCAAGCUUUUAUGAUUCUCCUGAAAUAUAUUAUAUAAUCUUCUGUUUGAUUUUUGGGAAGCCUGUUUAUCCUCGAGUUCCGGAGGUCCGCAUGCUUGAUUUCCAUGCUCUCAUGCCUAGUGAUGGAAACUAUGGAGAACUGAAGUUUGUGGAUCUAUUGGAUACUGUUAUCGCAAUGGCAAAAGCUACAUUUGAUUCAUUUAUUAUGAAGUCUAUGCUUGCACAUCAGAAUAACAAUCUUUCACACCUUAAUGGCACCUUGGUUGCGGAUCUUGUGGAGGCAACAUCAGACAUGGGAGGAGAUCUUCAAGGAGAAGCUCUGAUGCAUAAGACAUAUGCAGCAAGGUUAAUGGCUGGGGAAGCAGCAGCACCUGCUGUUGCUACUUCAAUAUUGCGGUUCAUGGUUGAUUUGGCAAAAACCUGCCCACCAUUCUCUGCUGUUUGCAGGCGACAUGAAUUCCUAGAAAGCUGUAUUGAUCUAUAUUUCUCUUGUGCAAGGUCUGAUUGUGCGUUGAAGAUGGCAAAAGAUCUAACAACUGCUGCAAUAGAUGAGAAGAACAUGAAUGAUGAUGACAAUGGAAGUUCAAAAGAUACCUUUCCAUGUUUGCCACAGAAUCAGGAACAAUCUGCCAAAACUUUGAGUGCUGCAAGUUUUCCUCAGGAGCAAAAAAGCACUAGCUCAGGAAGUACCGACAUGCAGAACUCUUCUGAUAAUGGUGAAGUAAAAGCAGACAUCUCUCUCAGUGAGGAGCUCAGCACCAAGUUUCUAAAUGGAGAAGCAAGCCAAGUGUUUCAGAAUGCUCAUGAUAAAGGACCGUUAUCAGCUGUGAGAUCAAAUGGCAUUGCCGAUUCUCACCAACUAUCUGAUUCACCCAGCUCAGUCUCUGUGAUUAACAUUGGAUCCCCUGUUUUGUCUGAGAGAUCGACUCAUAAACCAGCAAACACCCCUACCGCGUCUCCCAUGGCCCCAUUCACUUCUUGGGCUGGUAGCACAGGAUCAUAUACUGAUGGUAGACACCUAACAGCCUCUCCAUCCAUGUCUUCAACUAUAUCUGCAAUGGACCUCGAUUCAUCUCCUGAUCUAAAGACAAGCAUUCAGGGAUCGCCUGCAGUGAAUACAUUUUUCCCGAUCAGUUCGAAGCUUCUGCUUGACAUAGAUGAUGUAGGUUAUGGGGGUGGCCCUUGCUCUGCAGGAGCUACUGCUGUUCUUGAUUUCAUUGCUCAAAUCCUUGCUGAUAUUAUAUCAGAGCAGCUCAAAGCAACACUCUUUAUUGAGAGCGUUCUUGAGUCCGUGCCUUUGUUUGUAGACGUUGAUUCUGCUUUGGUUUUUCAAGGCUUGUGCCUAAGCAGACUGAUGAACUUCCUUGAAAGAAAACUCUUACUCGAUGAUGAAGAAGAUGGGAAGAAACUCGACAAGAGUCGCUGGUCUGUCAACUUGGAACCACUUUGCUGGCUGAUUGUUGACCGUGUAUACAUUGGCUGCUUUCCAACCCCAGUCGGUGUACUGCGAACACUAGAGUUCUUGUUGUCCAUGUUGCAGCUUGCCAAUCAAGAUGGCCGUAUUGAAGAUGCAGUACCUUCAGGUAAAGGUAUUUUAUCCAUUGCUCGAGGAACCAGGCAACUCGACCCCUACAUCCAUGCCAUAUUGAAGAACACAAACCGUCUGAUAAUGUACUGUUUCCUGCCAACAUUCCUUAAGAAUCUUGGGGAGGAUGACCUGCUGGCAAAUCUGGCUUUCCUAACGGAAACAGGGAGAAAUUUAGCUUCAAAACCUCCCCAAGAAGAGUAUUCUGUCGAUAUUUGUACCAUUCUUCAGCUUUUGAUUUCCAACAAGAGGCUGAUUCUAUGCCCAAGCAAUGUUGAUAAUGAUCUAAUGUGUUGUUUCUGCAUCAAUCUGAUGGCACUUCUUCGUGACAAGAGAUUAACUGCACAAGACUUAGCGGUGGAUUUACUUAAGUACCUGGUAGUGCAUCGACGCCCAUCUCUUGAGGACCUGCUUGUUUGUAAGCCUAACCAGGGGCAACAAACAGACAUUCUGCAUGGAGGGCUUGACAAAUUGCUGACUGUGAGUACAUCCGUGUUUUUUGAGUGGCUCGAGAAUUCUCAGCAAACAAUUAGUAAAGUGUUAGACCAGUGUGCUUUAAUAAUGUGGGUUCAGUACAUUACUGGCUCAGCAAAAUUUCCUGGGGUGAGAAUAAAAGGCAUGGAAGUCAGGCGCAAGAAGGAGAUGGGACGGAAAUCACGCGAAAUUGUAAAGCUAGAUGCCAGACACUGGGAGCAGAUAAAUGAACGGAGGUAUAAUCUUGAUUUGGUUCGUGAUGUGAUGUCCACAGAGCUGAGGGCAAUUCGUCAAGACAAAUAUGGAUGGAUAUUGCAUGGAGAAAGUGAGUGGCAGAGCCAAAUUCAACAGCUUGUACAUGAAAGAGGUAUUUUCCCCAUUUGUCAAGUAUCCACAGAACCUGCAUGGCAGUUAUGUGCUGUUGAAGGACCAUAUAGAAUGCGGAAGAAACUUGAGAACUCCAAAUUUAAGAUAGAUACUAUUCAGAAUGUUCUAACCAGCAGCCUUGGGUUUGAUGAUGUUACUAGAGCCAAGGAGGAGGAUGGAGACAUGAUGACAUCUGGGUCAGAUACAAUGUCGGGCUUGAAUCUUUUGACCUAUGAUACUGAGCAGAGGGAACUUGAUGCUGCUGAUUUUGCAUCUUUCAAAGAGGAUGAUGACAUAUUCAAAGGAGGAAGCACAGCGUCACCUCCAAUUGGCUGGACUGAUGAUAAAAGCAGCAUCAAUGAACAGAGUCUUCACUCUGCAAAUGAUUUCGGAGCAAAAUCAAGUUCCUUUUCUUAUCACAUGUCAGAGAGUGUCCAAGGUAGAUCUGAGUUAUAUUCACCAAGACAACCACCUUCAGUUAAAGGUACUGAUACGAGAACCUCAGAGGAUAAAUCAGAUAAGGAGUUGCUUGACAACGGAGAAUAUCUUAUCAGGCCUUAUAUGGAACCUUCUGAAAAGAUCAGGCAUAAGUACAAUUGUGAACGUGUUGCUGGUCUUGACAAGCACGAUGGUAUAUUUCUUAUUGGGGAGCUUUGCUUAUACAUUAUUGAGAACUUCUACAUCGACGAUUCCAACUGCAUUUGCGAAAAGGCCGAUCAAGAUGAGCUUUCUGUCAUUGAUCAGGCUUUAGGUGUGAAAAAGGAUAUAAUGGGAAGCAUUGAUUCCCAGCAGAAAUCACCUUCACCAUGGGGUGCAACUGCAAAGGACUCACUUGGUGGUAGAGCAUGGGCAUACAAUGGAGGUGCUUGGGGUAAGGAAAAUCUUUGCAAUAGCAGCAACCUGCCUCAUCCAUGGCAUAUGUGGAAGCUUGAUAGUGUCCAUGAGCUCCUGAAACGUGACUAUCAGCUUCGACCUGUUGCAAUCGAGAUUUUCAGCAUGGAUGGGUGUAACGAGCUUCUAGUUUUCCACAAAAAAGAGAGGGAGGAAGUUUUCAGAACUCUGAUUGCCAUGAACCUCCCACGGAAUAGCAUGUUGGACACGACAAUAUCAGCUUCCUCAAAGCAGGAUAGCGGUGAGGGGAGCCGCCUUUUCAAAGUUAUGGCAAAAUCUUUUUCCAAAAGAUGGCAAAGUGGAGAAAUUACCAACUUCCAGUAUCUCAUGCAUCUAAAUACACUUGCCGGUCGGGGCUAUAGCGACCUUACACAGUACCCAGUAUUUCCAUGGGUUCUUGCAGAUUACGAAAGCGAUAACUUAGAUCUGAGUAACCCACAGAGCUUCCGUAAGCUUGAUAAACCAAUGGGAUGUCAAACAGAGGGAGGAGAAGAGGAAUUCCGUAAGAGAUAUGAAAGCUGGGAUGACCCUGAUGUACCGAAGUUCCAUUAUGGUUCUCAUUAUUCAAGUGCUGGGAUUGUUCUUUUCUAUCUUCUAAGACUGCCUCCAUUCAGCAUGGAAAACCAGAAACUGCAGGGUGGACAAUUCGACCAUGCAGACAGGUUGUUCAAUAGUGUGAAAGAUACAUGGACAAGCGCUGCUGGUAAGAGCAACACAUCAGAUGUGAAAGAGCUCAUUCCUGAGUUCUAUUAUCUGCCCGAGUUUUUGGAGAACCGGUUUAAUCUGGACUUGGGGGAGAAACAAUCAGGAGAGAAGGUCGGUGAUGUUGUUUUGCCACCUUGGGCGAAAGGUAGCACCAGAGAAUUUAUUAGAAAACACCGGGAAGCUCUGGAAUCAGACUAUGUAUCUGAGAAUCUGCAUCAUUGGAUUGAUCUUAUUUUUGGAUAUAAGCAGAGAGGAAAGGCAGCUGAAGAUGCCGUCAAUGUUUUCUAUCACUACACAUAUGAAGGCAAUGUUGACAUAGAUGCAGUAUCAGAUCCUACCAUGAAGGCUUCGAUACUGGCACAGAUCAAUCACUUUGGCCAGACCCCCAAACAGUUAUUCCAAAAAGCCCAUCCACAGCGGCGGACUGACAGGAAAAUUCCUCCUCAUCCUCUACGGUACAGCACCUAUCUCACACACCAAGAGAUCCGCAAGACAGCAUCGUCAGUGUCCCAGAUCGUGACCUACAAUGACAAGAUCCUAAUUGCCGCAUCAAACAGCUUGCUCAAGCCAGUUGCUUACAGUGAGUACAUCUCAUGGGGAUUUCCUGACCGCAGCUUGAGAAUAUUGACAUAUGAUCAGGAUAGACUUCAAUCAACACAUGAGAACCUUCAUGGUGGUAGUCAAAUUCAGUGCACUGGAGUGAGCCAUGAUGGCAACAUUCUCACCACAGGUGGUGAUGACGGAGUAGUUGCAGUAUGGAGAUUUGUGAAGGAUGGCAUUCGUCGUCUCCUGAGGAUGGAGAAAGCCCUGUGUGCCCACACUGCCAAAAUAACAUGCAUCUAUGUCAGCCAGCCUUACUCGUUAAUAGUCUCAGGCUCUGACGAUUGUUCCGUCAUCUUGUGGGACCUGACAGGCCUGGUCUUUGUGAAGCAGCUGCCUAGGUUCCCAGCGUCAGUGUCUGCAUUACAUGUGAACAACCUCAAUGGUGAGAUUCUGACUGGUGCUGGUGUUCUUUUUGCUGUUUGGAGCGUCAACGGAGACUGUCUUGCUGUGGUGAACACCUCUCAGCUUCCUUCUGAUCUCAUCUUAUCUGUGGCAAGCACGACACACUCAGACUGGCAGGAUACAAACUGGUAUGUGACAGGCCAUCAAAGUGGUGCUGUGAAGGUAUGGAAGAUGGUGCACUGCACGUCUGAUGAGGCAGCAAACAACAAAAACAAAUCCCCAACAACCACCUAUGGAGGGCCGGGUCUGGAUGUCCAGACGCUGGAAUACAGGCUAAUUCUUCAAAAGGUUCUCAAAUCACACAAGCACCCGGUGACUGCCCUUUGUAUACCGCCCGACCUGAAGCAGCUUCUGAGCGGGGAUGCCAAUGGUCAUUUGUUUUCUUGGUCACUGAAAGAUGACAGCUUCAAGGGCUCAUAG